GUCUAUGGCCAUGCUACUCUAAACAAGCUCGAUCUCACCUGAUUUCGGAAGUUAAGCAGGGUUGGACCUGGUUACUACUUGGAUGGGAGACCACCUAGGAAGACCAGGUACUGUAGACG
rnacentral:rRNA from 1 species